rnacentral:lncRNA from 1 species
ACGUCCAAAAAAUAUAAAUAGUCAAGAAAAAGACAUAAAAACACCUCAAAAAAAUCCUGAAUAUCACUUGUCACCUUAUAAUAUAGAUACGUAAUUAGAUAUCAAUAUUUCACAUUUUUUUGUUAAUUCCCAAAAAAUAUAAUAAUUUUAAUUCGUAAACCUGCGAAAAAUAUAGAAAUCAAGAAAAAGACAUAAAAACACUUCAAAAAAUUCUUGAAUCGCA